AUGCACAUGCUGUGAGCUCGAUGAGUAGGGCGGGACACGUGGUAUCCUGUCUGAAUAUGGGGGGACCAUCCUCCAAGGCUAAAUACUCCUGACUGACCGAUAGUGAACCAGUACCGUGAGGGAAAGGCGAAAAGAACCCCGGCGAGGGGAGUGAAAAAGAACCUGAAACCGUGUACGUACAAGCAGUGGGAGCACGCUUCGGCGUGUGACUGCGUACCUUUUGUAUAAUGGGUCAGCGACUUAUAUUCUGUAGCAAGGUUAACCGAAUAGGGGAGCCGAAGGGAAACCGAGUCUUAACUGGGCGUUAAGUUGCAGGGUAUAGACCCGAAACCCGGUGAUCUAGCCAUGGGCAGGUUGAAGGUUGGGUAACACUAACUGGAGGACCGAACCGACUAAUGUUGAAAAAUUAGCGGAUGACUUGUGGCUGGGGGUGAAAGGCCAAUCAAACCGGGAGAUAGCUGGUUCUCCCCGAAAGCUAUUUAGGUAGCGCCUCGUGAAUUCAUCUCCGGGGGUAGAGCACUGUUUCGGCAAGGGGGUCAUCCCGACUUACCAACCCGAUGCAAACUGCGAAUACCGGAGAAUGUUAUCACGGGAGACACACGGCGGGUGCUAACGUCCGUCGUGAAGAGGGAAACAACCCAGACCGCCAGCUAAGGUCCCAAAGUCAUGGUUAAGUGGGAAACGAUGUGGGAAGGCCCAGACAGCCAGGAUGUUGGCUUAGAAGCAGCCAUCAUUUAAAGAAAGCGUAAUAGCUCACUGGUCGAGUCGGCCUGCGCGGAAGAUGUAACGGGGCUAAACCAUG
rnacentral:rRNA from 1 species